rnacentral:rRNA from 1 species
AACGGCCGUACCAUGCUGAAUAUACCGGUUCUCGUUCGAUCACCGAAGUCAAGCAUCAUUGGGCGCGGUCAGUACUUGGGUGGGUGACCACUUGGGAACACCGCGUGCCGUU